rnacentral:rRNA from 1 species
AAGGGCACCACCGGGUGUGGAGCCUGCGGAGGGUUUUUCUGAGCUUGGGAAAACUCACCCGGCCCGGACACCGUGAGGAUUGACAGAUUGAGAGCUCUUUCUUGAUUCGGUGGUUGGUGGUGCAUGGCCGUUCUUAGUUGGUGGAGCGAUUUGUCUGGUUUAUUCCGAUAACGAACGAGACUCUGGCCUACUAAAUAGUGACAGGAUUAUUACUGUCUUGGAUACUUCUUAGAGGGACAAGUGGUUUUCAGCCACACGAAAUUGAGCAAUAACAGGUCUGUGAUGCCCUUAGAUGUCCGGGGCUGCACGCGCGCUACACUGAAGGAAUCAGCGUGCUAAAACCAUUGUCGAAAGGCAUUGGUAAACCCAUUAAAAUCCUACGUGAUUGGGAUCGGGAAUUGCAAUUAUUUCCCUUGAACGAGGAAUUCCCAGUAAGUGUGGGUCAUAAGCUCGCGUUGAUUACGUCCCUGCCCUUUGUACACACCGCCCGUCGCUGCCCGGGACUGAGCCGUUUCGAGA